UGUAACAACUCACCUGCCGAAGCAACUAGCCCUGAAAAUGGAUGGCGCUCUAGCGUCGUGCCUAUACCGGGCCGUCAACGGCACAGUGGGUGUCUGGCCGUCGGCCAGAGCCGUUAAGCCUUGACGAGUAGGAGGGUCGCGGCGGUGUGCGCAGAAGGGUCAGGGCGUGAGCCCGCCUGGAGCCGCCGUCGGCGCAGAUCUUGGUGGUAGUAGCAAAUACUCUAGCGAGGGCCUGGAGGACUGACGUGGAGAAGGGUUUCUUGUGAACAGCCGUUGCACAAGAGUCAGUCGACCCUAAGCUCUAGGAGAAAUCCGAUGGCGAUGGGUGGCUAAACAACGUACCUAAACACGUUGUGUGUGUCUAUCUCUGAUGCCCCUGUUGAGCAAAAGGGAGUCCGGUUCCUAUUCCGGAACCCGGCUGCGUAACCGCCACUCUGCGGGCACUCGCCUGCGAGCGCUCGUCGGGGUAACCCAAACUGGCCCGGAGACGCCGGCGGGGGGUCUGGAAAGAGUUUUCUUUUCUUUAUAAGCGUUCGAGUACCCUGGAAUCCUAUAGCAGGGAGAUAGGGUUUGGAACGCGAAGAGCACCGCAGUUGCGGCGGUGUCCGGACCUUCCCCCCGGACCUUGAAAAUCCGGGUGAGGGCUACGCGGAAGUCGCGCCGGGUCGUACCCAUAUCCGCAGCAGGUCUCCAAGGUUAAGAGCCUCUAGUCGAUAGAAUAAUGUAGGUA
rnacentral:rRNA from 1 species